rfam:Mycoplasma genitalium G37, complete genome.
GGGAGCGUACUCAAGUGGUUAAGAGGACACCCUGCUAAGGUGUUAGAUCGUUCUACGGUGCGUGGGUUCGAAUCCCACCGCUUCCG